rnacentral:lncRNA from 1 species
CCCGAGCCCCGCAGCCGGGCUUCCGCGUGCGGGCAGCGCCCCCUGCCCCGUCCGGAGCUCUCCGCCGCAGUGAUGGCGGCGACGGGGGCGGCGCAGCCGAGUCACCUGUGGGGCUUCUCACAACUCCACAGCCCCCUCCCCAAACCCUAGGUCACUCGUCCAGAGGAAGAAAAGAAGCAAUCUCAGCAGAUGCAGGGCCCGGCGCGCCGGUGGUGGAGUUUCCAAAAGCCCUACAGGUGAUGCCACCCCGACGCCCCGCGACGCUGGCCCUGGGUAGUCUCGACCCUCUCCGGCUCCGCAGCUUCCCCCGACCCCGCGGGACGGCCGGGGCUUCGGCGGCGAGACUUGGGAAAGUGUCCCCUGCUCUGCGCACCUCCCUCGCUGCGCGGACCGCGCGCUGGAUGCCAGAGCCACGGAGACCCCUCCAGCCCCACUGAUAUGGGAUGUAGACAGAGGCAUUGGCCAAAGCCUGGAGAGACGCACACCCAGAGUCAGAGGGGAAAGAAGCAGAGUGAAGAACCUUUCUGAGAAGCCUGCUCAUCUGUAUGCUCCGAGAGCAGUGGAAGCCACAGCACAGGAAGCUUCAUUGGGAAGGGCCUUGUGAAUCAGUCCAGGCUCAUGGGCACAACUAGCCAUUUGAGAUAGAACUGGGAACAGGAGGCCCACUGUCUCAGAGGAUUGCAUCAAGAACUGUGCCCCCGAGCAGCUGAAGACUGCAGGGUCUUGGAGCUGCAGGGACAGGAGGGAAGGAGCCAAUACUCCACCAGGCAUCCACUCUUUUCACAUACUAUCUUUUCAUGAAUCUCUGCAGUCGUGAUAGAAAGUACCCCCAAAAUGUCUCCAUCUGAAAGUAGAGGAAACUGAGGCUGAGAGGCAUAAAAGUGACUGGCCUAACACAUCAGUGAAUAAAUGGCCUGAAAGAUCUUUAACACUAGUCUGCUCUAAUUCUGCAUGAUGACUCUUCCUUUAUGUCAUGCAGUCAAGCCUUGCCACCAGCCAGAAUUUCUGAGAUGCAUCACUGGUUUAUAAAGCGGUGUCAAAUGGUAUGAGCAUGGAGGGGAUGACAUGUGUGCAGUGGGUCACAGCACUUCUCUUUCUUCAGACUCGAAGUCCAAGUUUUGUCAGAAAAUUCUCAUGGAAAGACAGACAGAUACCAGGCUGACCUAGCAUCCACUCAUUCUCUCCCUCUCUCUCUCUCUCUCUCUCUCUCUCUCUCUCUCUCUCUCUCUCAGUUUGGAAAAAGGAUUUGUAGGUCAUUUAGUCCAAAUUUCUAAUUCCUGAAUUAAAGUUGCAGUAUCUAAAGUAAAUAGCUUUCUAGCCUGUGCUUGGAGAUUUAUAGACUGUAAGGACUUUUACAAAGGGAGAAAUUAUUACCAGAGAUAAUGAAAUGAGGUGUGACCCUGACAAUGCAUAGGCUCACAGUGUAGGCAUCUGGAACUCUGUAGUGGCCGUGGUCAGCAUGGACAUGGUGCGGUGUUGGUAACAGUAAUGACAGUAGUAGUAGCAGUGAUGAUGGUUGUGCUGGAGGUCAGGGUGGUGAUGGAAAUGACUGUGACAGCAGUAAUGGGGUGGUGUGAGUCUUGAUGGUAGUAGCACCAGAGGUGGUAGAAGUUGGAGUGAUCCUGGAAGGAAAGCCCCAAGCAGAGGGUAAGUUCUUCCUGGGACAUCAACUAGUUGCCCAUACUGCCUGUAUUAAUCAUGCUUCUCUAGAGGAACAGAACCAAUAGAAAAUAUAUGCAUCAUGAUGCAAAGGGGUUAUUAGGUAGCUUACAGGGUCAGAGGUGGAGAAUCCACUGUGGCCAUCUCUGCACGCUGGAGAGCCAGGGCAUCCGGGAGCUGCUCAGCCCAUGAAGAUGGAGGCUGCAGAACAACAGGGAUCAAGGAUGAGGUGCAGUCCAAGCUCAGAGGCCCGGAAAGUCACUGGAGGGUUGCUGGUGCUAAUCUACAUCAGAAGGCUAAGGAAGAAACUGGAGACUUGGAGGCUGAUGUGCAAAGGAUUGGCCCUUCCAGGAAGACUGGGCCUCUUCAGAACUGGGACACUUCUUUAUUCUUUCCCUGCAAGCCUAUUGGUAGGUAGCGCCUACAUAGGAGGUGGGUCUCCCCUACCCAGUUUGCUGGCCUACAUGUCAAUCACCUUCAGAAACAGCCAGACCUGCACUUUACUAAUCUGGUAAGUGCUUCUUAAUUCAUUCAAAUAGACACAGUAUGAUUAAUAGUCACGCUGUCCCAGGGUAGCUCAUCCCUGUGAGGAGAAUGGAUAACUCCAUAGCAUUCUCCUGGCCUGUCCAGGUCAGGGAGCUGCUAGGCUGAAAUCUUGCCUGACACAGCCAAUGUCCUCCAUUCCAAGGUGGCCGGAACCCAGGGCCCUGAGGCCUGGCAGACUUUUCUAAGCUUUUGUAGAAAUGUUUAUGAUGGAAACAUAUUCAGGUCCACAGGCUGGGACAAGCCUACACACACACACACACACACACUCACACACACACACGCACAGAGUUUCUGCAGAAGCUGGUGGAGAGAGGAUGAGUGUGGCUAAGUGUGUGCCACAUGUCCAUCUCCGCCAUUCUGAUCCAGGUGGUUGCGCAAUGCUGGCAGCUUUGUCACUGACUCAGUCACUGAGACACCAGCAGCGAAAGCAACCAGUAUGCUGUUUGCCUCUCUGGAAUGCAAGCAUGCCAAAUGAAGAGUCACACAAUAUGGCCUCCUUGCAGCAAUGGAUGGCCUGCCCCCAGCUGGUGCCAGGUUUGCUUUCUGUUUAGUUCCAGUGCCCUCUCACUUGUCAGGAAUGACAUUUGGGAGACUUGACGGAGGAAACUCCAUUCUGUGAUAGAUAGGAACUGGUGACCCUGUGGCUAUGGGCAACGCUGGCUUAGUGUAGGCAUAGCCCAGAAUGACUCCUGCUAUUUACCAUACAAGAAAUCAAUGUAAAACAAUGACCCUUCCCCACAAGAGCAUAUGUGUUUCAUACUCCAAGCACCCCUCGAUCUGUCACCCCAAAUACGUUCAGCAGUAUUACCCAAAUCAUGGACUCACUAAAGUGCCUGCCUUCAAUAGGGUCCCUUAUUUCCUCCUGUACAGGAGUAAUAAUUUCAAGGGCAAGAAGAGAAAGUGCAUAUGAUGUCCUUCCUCUGUUGGUGCCUGGCCUGGGGAGAUUCUUAGAAAAUGUGUGCUCAAUGAAGGACAUGAUGACCGGGUGAUGUAGAUGUGGAAGCAUUUCUGUUUUUGCAAGGUCACAUUAACUUCUGUGCAGGGAAAGAGUCAGCUCGAAAGCUUUGAUGGCCUCUGGGAACAGAGAGCUCUACCCAGACCACACAUGGAAAGCUUCCAAAGGUGAAGGCCACGAGGACAGUCGCAGUGUCCUUGGCUGCAUAAAUGUGCACGACAACUGCAUGUGUUGGUACCUGGCAGUUCUUCGGAGACUAACUGUAAGGUCUUCUUUUAUAGCCUGGUUGCCUUUAUGAAGACAAGGGUCUGCCAGUGGCAGUGACAACCCUUGGAAUUUCUGGACAGUGAUUCAGAGAUUAGUCAUAUAUAGCACCCAGUCAUUUGUAGGUACAAAGCUUAGGCUCAGUGUGUACUUGCCAACAAUGUCCCUGUCACCCUGCUUGGCACCCAGCCCAUAUAUAACGAGAGGCUCUCAAAUUCCAACCGACUAUGGAAGCAGAGCCAGUGUUAAGGAAAUCGCCAUUUUACUUGUUAAAAUAAUACCCGGAUUCUGUAGCAGAUUCUUUCUAACAGAUUUUAUUCAGGCAUCCACCCAUUGCCAAGUUGGGGCAUUCUGCUGGCAUCUGUUGUGGAUCUAGGUGUGGG